rnacentral:tRNA from 1 species
CGGGGUGUAGCUCAGUAGGCUAGAGCGCGUGCUUUGGGAGCACGAGGUCGCAGGUUCGAGCCCUGUCACCCCGACCA